GUUAAGAUGGCAGAGCAGGGUUCACGCAAAAGGCCUAAGCCCUUUAUACAGAGGUUCAAAUCCUCUUCUUAACU
rnacentral:tRNA from 1 species